CACUGUAUUAGAAAUAUAGGUAAUCUGACAUCAAAGUACAGUGAGUUGCUUGCAAGUCAUCUUGGUAAUCUUAGUUCGGAGGGAUACUUAUGCCCAUAUCUUUCAUGAGCUGUCCUUGAUAGCAGAGUACUCUAUAGGUCAGUCACUAUUUAAUGACGAUAUACUUCUACAUCUCACCUGUAUGUCGUACCAAUAUCUCCAUACUCCUUGGUUAAGAGAAUAAUCAAUCCAUAUGGCACACAACAACCUAUACUCGAUAAACGUUAUUAUCCUUAUUAAUAACAUAUUAUUUGAUUGUGAAUAAGUUUAAGAACUAUUCGAUAAAUCCUCUUUUAUCGAUUAUAUUAGAGUUCUAAGGACUUCAUCAUA
rnacentral:lncRNA from 1 species